UACGGGAGGCAGCAGUGGGGAAUAUUGCACAAUGGGCGAAAGCCUGAUGCAGCUAUGCCGCGUGUAUGAAGAAGGCCUUAGGGUUGUAAAGUACUUUCAUCGGGGAGGAAAAAACAAAACUAAUAAUUUUAUUUCUUGACGUUACCCGAAAAAGAAGCACCGGCUAACUCCGUGCCAGCAGCCGCGGUAAUACGGAGGGUGCUAGCGUUAAUCAGAAUUACUGGGCGUAAAGAGCACGUAGGUGGUUUUUUUAAGUCAGAUGUGAAAUCCCUGGGCUUAACCUAGGAACUGCAUUUUGAAACUGAAAUACUAGAGUAUCGUAGAGGGAGGUAGAAUUCUAGGUGUAGCGGUGAAAUGCGUAGAUAUCUGGAGGAAUACCUGUGGCGAAAGCGGCCUCCUAAACGAAUACUGACACUGAGGUGCGAAAGCGUGGGGAGCGAAAACAGGGAUUAGGAUACC
rnacentral:rRNA from 1 species